UACAGAGGGUGCAAGCGUUGUUCGGAAUCAUUGGGCGUAAAGGGCGUGUAGGCGGUUUGUUAAGUCAUGUGUGAAAUCCCUCGGCUCAACCGAGGAACUGCGUCCGAUACUGGUGGGCUUGAAUCCGGGAGAGGGAUGUGGAAUUCCAGGUGUAGCGGUGAAAUGCGCAGAUAUCGAGGAGGAACACCGGUGGCGGAAGGCGGGUCUCUGGGCCGAUGACAUGACGCUGGAGGAGCGAAAGCGUGGGGAGCGAACAGG
rnacentral:rRNA from 1 species